AUUGAACGCCGGCGGCAGGCCUAACACAUGCAAGUCGAGCGGAUGAGUGGAGCUUGCUCCAUGAUUCAGCGGCGGACGGGUGAGUAAUGCCUAGGAAUCUGCCUGGUAGUGGGGGACAACGUUUCGAAAGGAACGCUAAUACCGCAUACGUCCUACGGGAGAAAGUGGGGGAUCUUCGGACCUCACGCUAUCAGAUGAGCCUAGGUCGGAUUAGCUAGUUGGUGAGGUAAAGGCUCACCAAGGCGACGAUCCGUAACUGGUCUGAGAGGAUGAUCAGUCACACUAGAACUAAGACACGGUCCAGACUCCUACGGGAGGCAGCAGUGGGGAAUAUUGGACAAUGGGCGAAAGCCUGAUCCAGCCAUGCCGCGUGUGUGAAGAAGGUCUUCGGAUUGUAAAGCACUUUAAGUUGGGAGGAAGGGCAGUAAGUUAAUACCUUGCUGUUUUGACGCUACCAACAGAAUAAGCACCGGCUAACUUCGUGCCAGCCGCCGCAGUAACAC
rnacentral:rRNA from 1 species